CUUUUGUCUUGUGUCAGAUCAUUUUGUUAGUUUGUGCCUGCUGUGUCGCCACGUGUCAGUUUGAAUUAGGUUCUUUGCUCCCUGGAUUUCCAUGGGUCUCAAGUUUCUGGUCACAGCCAUCAACUCUUCCAUGUGUGCUACCCACUUCCAGAUGAAGGCCAUGGAACAGGACAUGGUAACACGGCGCACUGGCUCCUUGAACACUCCAUACCCAUUAGCUUUGCCAACUCAGUGGGUGCAGCGCUGCUUUGUGUGGUGGUAAAUUUGACUAUCAUCAUCUUCUACAGUCUACCUCUCCUCUCUGCUCCAGUCCAUCAAGAAAAGAAACAUGAUAAAGGUCCAAGGAAAGCCUCAGCCAAGGUCUGCCCCUGCUACUAAACCUCAGGCUUCAAGUCACGGCUAAGAGAUUCCGGCUGGUUACGAGACAUAUGGACAUGUGAAAAGUGUGCAAUAUGGGUGAUUUUGAAGAACACAGCUAUGAGGAACUGACAUAAUCAUAAUGUGCAGUCGGCAUUAAACUCAUGGUGGGUAACGGCCUUCAGACAACACUGGGAUUACUGCUAUUACAAAAAAGACACAGGAAUUUAUGACAAGGGAAAGAAAAUGUUUUGCUCUUGAGUUUGCGCUGCCUGCAAAGUAGCUUAAAACUAAAAACUUAAAUAAUUCAAAGUUCAGUUACUGUUAAUGCAUGAAUACAGAGUAAAUGUUUUCAGGUUUGUUUAUUUCCCUCCAUAUGAUUGCUGUUUCUGUCCCUGUGACCUGUGAGACAUGUCACAUUGUUCUUUUGAUACAAAACUGAAAGUAUUUAUGUACAUAGUUAUUAUGAUUUUUUUAAAUAAACCAACCAAACCUG